rnacentral:rRNA from 1 species
AGUUUGAUCCUGGCUCAGGACGAACGCUGGCGGCGUGCUUAACACAUGCAAGUCGAACGAUGAAGCCCUUCGGGGUGGAUUAGUGGCGAACGGGUGAGUAACACGUGGGCAAUCUGCCCUUCACUCUGGGACAAGCCCUGGAAACGGGGUCUAAUACCGGAUAAUACUUUCUCUCUCCUGGGGGAAGGUUGAAAGCUCCGGCGGUGAAGGAUGAGCCCGCGGCCUAUCAGCUAGUUGGUGGGGUAAUGGCCUACCAAGGCGACGACGGGUAGCCGGCCUGAGAGGGCGACCGGCCACACUGGGACUGAGACACGGCCCAGACUCCUACGGGAGGCAGCAGUGGGGAAUAUUGCACAAUGGGCGAAAGCCUGAUGCAGCGACGCCGCGUGAGGGAUGACGGCCUUCGGGUUGUAAACCUCUUUCAGCAGGGAAGAAGCGAAAGUGA